rnacentral:rRNA from 1 species
GAUGAACGCUGGCGGCGUGCCUAAUACAUGCAAGUCGAGCGAACAGACGAGGAGCUUGCUCCUCUGACGUUAGCGGCGGACGGGUGAGUAACACGUGGGUAACCUACCUAUAAGACUGGGAUAACUUCGGGAAACCGGAGCUAAUACCGGAUAAUAUAUUUAACCGCAUGGUUCAAUAGUGAAAGACGGUUUUGCUGUCCCUUAUAGAUGGAUCCGCGUCGCAUUAGCUAGUUGGUAAGGUAACGGCUUACCAAGGCAACGAUGCGUAGCCGACCUGAGAGGGUGAUCGGCCACACUGGAACUGAGACACGGCCCAGACUCCUACGGGAGGCAGCAGUGGGGAAUCUUCCGCAAUGGGCGAAAGCCUGACGGAGCAACGCCGCGUGAGGGAUGAAGGUCUUCGGAUCGUAAAACUCUGUUAUUGGGGAAGAACAAAUGUGUAAGUAACUAUGCACGUCUUGACGGUACCUAAUCAGAAAGCCACGGCUAACUACGUG